rnacentral:rRNA from 1 species
GUGCCAGCAGCCGCGGUAACACGUAGGACACAAGCGUUAUCCGGAAUUACUGGGCGUAAAGCGCCAGCAGGCGGUCGUGUAAGUCAUUGAUGAAAACGCUCGGCUCAACCGAGCGCUGUUCAGUGAUACUGCAUAACUAGAGGGAGAUAGAGGCGAGUGGAAUUCCGCGUGUAGUGGUGAAAUGCGUAGAGAUGCGGAGGAACACCAGUGGCGAAGGCGGCUCGCUGGGUCUCACCUGACGCUGAGAGGCGAAAGCAUGGGGAGCGAACGGGAUUAGAAACCCCUGUAGUCC